rnacentral:rRNA from 1 species
ACAGCAGCCGCCGCGGUAAUACGAAGGGUGCAAGCGUUACUCGGAACUACUGGGCGUAAAGCGUGCGUAGGUGGUGGUUUAAGUCCGUUGUGAAAGCCCUGGGCUCAACCUGGGAAUUGCAGUGGAUACUGGAUCACUAGAGUGUGGUAGAGGAUAGUGGAAUUUCCGGUGUAGCAGUGAAAUGCGUAGAGAUCGGAAGGAACAUCUGUGGCGAAGGCGACUAUCUGGGACAACACUGACGCUGAGGCACGAAAGCGUGGGGAGCAAACAGGAUUAGAUACCCCGGUAGUCCCUGUCUCUUAUAC